UUACGGCCACAUCACAUUGAAACACCUUUUCAAAUACGAUCACCGAAGUUAAGCAACGUCGAGCGUGCUCAAUACCUAGAUGGGUGACCGCUUGGGAAUACCAGAGGCUACA